rnacentral:lncRNA from 1 species
CAACUACAGGUUUAACAGCUCUAAUUACUAGACUGUACCAGAGAGAUGUAGAGUACAUAGGUUCAAACUAUAGUUAUGCUUUUCCUUUAACAGCUCUUUGGAUUUGCAUGGAGACAAGGCUCCUACCGGGAAGCUGAAUAAAAAGUAUUACUCUCUAAGCAGACAGUCCUACACCUCUGAAAUACAAAAACAUCAUCUCUGAGCUACAAAACUGCCAGUCAGGAAAGCGUUCUGGAGUAAGGUGCUGUCCUGCUGGCCUCUGUCCCCUUUGGAUUGCCCGUCCAAGACCAAGCGUCAAUCUGACCCUGCACACAGUGUUUAAGUCCUCCCAGGAGAAAGGACUGAAGAAAAACUAAACAAACAAGACAAUAACUGAUUGCAUGAGACAACAAAUGGGAGAACAGAAAUGACUGGAAUGGGAUGCCAGGAAAAGCACCUCUGGCAGCACCCAGCACUUCCCAGAGAGAACACCAAUGGCUUGGUUGAACUUUUGGACUGGCCUAAUAAAACCAUGUGACAUCAGACAAAGCACUCCAUAGCAAGGUG